rnacentral:rRNA from 1 species
GUAACGACUGAUCAAGUCUUUUUGAAGAAAGAGCUUGAGAGAUAGAAGUUAUUGACGCAAUUCUAAGAGACACUUCUAUAAUACGCCGGCUCCUCCCUCUGAAUUAGUAAUAGUUUAGAGAAGGAUGAAGAUAUAGUCUGUACCAUUAGUAAUAAUGGACAAAUAUGACGGCCCAUACUCCUACGGGAGGCAGCAGUAGGGAAUUUUGCACAAUGGACGAAAGUCUGAUGCAGCAACGCUGCGUGAAGGAUGAAGGUUUUCGGAUCGUAAACUUCUUUUAUCUGGGAAUAAUCUUGAAGGUACCAGAUGAAUAAGCACCGGCUAACUACGUGCCAGCAGCCGCGGUAAUACGUAGGGUGCAAAUGUUAUCCGGAUUUAUUGGGCGUAAAGAGCUCGUAGGUGGUUUGAUAAGUCUGACAUGAAAUAUCCAGGCCCAACCUGGAAAACGUGUUGGAAACUAUCUAACUUGAGGUUUGCAGGGGAAGAUGGAACACACAGUGUAGCAGUGAAAUGCGUAGAUAUUGUGUGGAACGCCAAUGGUGAAGACAGUCUUCUGGGCAACACCUGACACUGAGGAGCGAAAGCGUGGGUAGCGAACGGGAUUAGAUACCCCGGUAGUCCACGCCCUAAACGAUGCAUACUAGGAAUUCGGAGAAUCGACCCUCUGAGUUUCGAAGCUAACGCGUUAAGUAUGCCGCCUGGGUAGUACGGCCGCAAGGCUAAAACUCAAAGGAAUUGACGGGGACCCGCACAAGCGGUGGAACAUGUGGUUUAAUUCGUCAACAAGCGAAGAACCUUACCAGGGUUUGACAUCUAGAGAAUCCCUGUGAAAGCAGGGAGUGCCGCAAGGAGCUCUAAGACAGGUGUUGCACGGUCGUCGUCAGCUCGUGCUGUGAAGUGUCCCGUUAAGUCGGUAAACGAGCGCAACCCCUAUCGUAUGUUAUUUUUCAUGCGAGACUGCCGGCGUUAAGUCGGAGGAAGGUGGGGAUGACGUCAGAUCAGCGUGGCCCUUAUACCCUGGGCGACACACGUGUUACAAUGGGAAGUUACAAAGAGUUGCAAAACCGCAAGGCGAAGCUAAUCUCAUCAAAUCUUCCCCCAGUUCGGAUUGGGGUCUGAAACUCGACCCCAUGAAGCCGGAAUCGCUAGUAACCGUAGGUCAGCCAUACUACGGUGAAUACGUUCUCAGGUCUUGUACAAAAUAAAUGCGCCUGGCAGCAUAUUAGGC